rnacentral:rRNA from 1 species
GACGAACGCUGGCGGCGUGCUUAACACAUGCCAGUCGAACGGAAAGGCCCUGCUUUUGUGGGGUGCUCGAGUGGCGAACGGGUGAGUAACACGUGAGUAACCUGCCCUUGACUUUGGGAUAACUUCAGGAAACUGGGGCUAAUACCGGAUAGGAGCUCCUGCUGCAUGGUGGGGGUUGGAAAGUUUCGGCGGUUGGGGAUGGACUCGCGGCUUAUCAGCUUGUUGGUGGGGUAGUGGCUUACCGAGGCUUUGACGGGUAGCCGGCCUGAGAGGGUGACCGGCCACAUUGGGACUGAGAUACGGCCCAGACUCCUACGGGAGGCAGCAGUGGGGAAUAUUGCACAAUGGGCGGAAGCCUGAUGCAGCAACGCCGCGUGCGGGAUGACGGCCUUCGGGUUGUAAACCGCUUUCGCCUGUGACGAAGCGUGAGUGACGGUAAUGGGUAAAGAAGCACCGGCUAACUACGUG